GAUGAACGCUGGCGGCGUGCCUAAUACAUGCAAGUCGAGCGAACAGACGAGGAGCUUGCUCCUCUGACGUUAGCGGCGGACGGGUGAGUAACACGUGGAUAACCUACCUAUAAGACUGGGAUAACUUCGGGAAACCGGAGCUAAUACCGGAUAACAUGUUGAACCGCAUGGUUCAACAGUGAAGGACGGUCUUGCUGUCACUUAUAGAUGGAUCCGCGCCGCAUUAGCUAGUUGGUAAGGUAACGGCUUACCAAGGCAACGAUGCGUAGCCGACCUGAGAGGGUGAUCGGCCACACUGGAACUGAGGCACGGUCCAGACUCCUACGGGAGGCAGCAGUAGGGAAUCUUCCGCAAUGGGCGAAAUCCUGACGGAGCAACGCCGCGUGAGUGAAGAAGGUCUUCGGAUCGUAAAACUCUGUUAUUAGGGAAGAACAAAUGUGUAAGUAACUAUGCACGUCUUGACGGUACCUAAUCAGAAAGCCACGGCUAACUACGUG
rnacentral:rRNA from 1 species